rnacentral:rRNA from 1 species
UUUCCGGUUGAUCCCGCCGGAGGUCACUGCUAUCGGUGUUCGACUAAGCCAUGCGAGUCAAAUGUUCUUCGUGAACAUGGCGUACUGCUCAGUAACACGUGGAUAACCUGCCCUUAGGACUGGCAUAACCCCGGGAAACUGGGGAUAAUUCCGGAUAGUUCAUGGUAGCUGGAAUGCUCCAUGAUCGAAAGCUAUUGCGCCUAAGGAUGGGUCUGCGGUCUAUCAGGUAGUAGUGGGUGUAAUGUACCUACUAGCCGACGACGGAUACGGGUUGUGGGAGCAAGAGCCCGGAGAUGGAUUCUGAGACAUGAAUCCAGGCCCUACGGGGCGCAGCAGGCGCGAAAACUUUACAAUGCGGGAAACCGCGAUAAGGGGACACCGAGUGCCAGCAUCUUAUGUUGGCUGUCCGCAUGUAUAAAUCACAUGUGUUAGCAAGGGCCGGGCAAGACCGGUGCCAGCCGCCGCGGUAACACCGGCGGCCCGAGUGGUGGCCACUAUUAUUGGGUCUAAAGGGUCCGUAGCCGGUUUGGUCAGUCUUCCGGGAAAUCUGACGGCUUAACCGUUAGGCUUUCGGGGGAUACUACCAGGCUUGGGACCGGGAGAGGUAAGAGGUACUACGGGGGUAGGAGUGAAAUCUUGUAAUCCUCGUGGGACCACCAGUGGCGAAGGCGUCUUACCAGAACGGGUCCGACGGUGAGGGACGAAAGCUGGGGGCACGAACCGGAUUAGAUACCCGGGUAGUCCCAGCCGUAAACUAUGCUCGCUAGGUGUCAGGCACGGUGCGACCGUUUCUGGUGCCGCACGGAAGCCGUGAAAGCGAGCCACCUGCGAAGUACUGUCGCAUGGCUGAAAACUUAAAGGAAUUGGCGGGGGGAGCAC